rnacentral:rRNA from 1 species
AUUGAACGCUGGCGGCAUGCCUUACACAUGCAAGUCGAACGGCAGCAUGAUCUAGCUUGCUAGAUUGAUGGCGAGUUGCGAACGGGUGAGUAAUACAUCGGAACGUGCCCUGUAGUGGGGGAUAACUAGUCGAAAGAUUAGCUAAUACCGCAUACGACCUGAGGGUGAAAGUGGGGGACCGCAAGGCCUCAUGCUAUAGGAGCGGCCGAUGUCUGAUUAGCUAGUUGGUGAGGUAAAGGCUCACCAAGGCGACGAUCAGUAGCUGGUCUGAGGGGACGGUCAGCCACACUGGGACUGGGACACGGCCCAGACUCCUACGGGAGGCAGCAGUGGGGAAUUUUGGACAAUGGGGGCAACCCUGAUCCAGCAAUGCCGCGUGUGUGAAGAAGGCCUUCGGGUUGUAAAGCACUUUUGUCCGGAAAGAAAUCGCACUUACUAAUAUUAGGUGUGGAUGACGGUACCGGAAGAAUAAGGACCGGCUAACUACGUGCCAGCCGCCGCGGUAACAC